CUUUAUUUAAUGAUUGAUAAUAUAAGUAUGUUGUCGUCGAUAUGUUCAUAUUGACUUGUAAUAUUGAAAUUUGAAUGUAUUGAUAAAGUAUGUGUAAGAUAAGAACCGAGACUGGAUAUAAGGAAUUGUUUAUUUGACGGGGAACUAUAUAAAUGAAUUCAUGUCAAUAUGUUGAUUUUGACUUGUAUUGCUUGAAUUUGAAUGUAUUGGUAAGGUACCUACACAAGUCCGGAGAUUGGAUAUAGAGAAUUGUUUAUUUAAUGGGGAAUGAUAAAAGUAUAUUGAUGUCAAAAUGUUGAUGUUGACUUGUAAUCGUUGAAUUUGAAUAUAUUUAUAAAGAAAUAAAUCCAGAGACUGGAUAUAAAACAUGUCGAUUAUUGAAAUAGGAAAUGACAUAAGUAUAUAGAUGCCAAUAUGUUGAUGUUGACUUGAAAUGGUUGAAUUUGAAUGUAUUUAUAAAGAAUAUAGAUCCAGAGACUGGAUAUAAAUAAAGUUGAUUAUUGAAAUAGGAUAUGAUAUAAGUAUAUAGAUGCCAAUAUGUUGAUGUUUACUUGUAAUGGUUGAAUUUGAAUGUAUUUAUAAAGAAAUAAAUCGAAAGACUGGAUAUAAAACAAGUCGAUUAUUUAAAUAGGAAAAUAUAUAAGUAUAUGGAUGCCAAUAUGUUGAUGUUGACUUGUCAUGGUUAAAUUUGAAUGUAUUGAUAAGGUACAUAAGUCGAGAGACUUGAUAGAAGGAUCUUGAUGUCAAUUUGUUAACAUGACUAGAAGGCGUAGAUAGCUCCAAAUAGGAGUGAAUUCCUCGUUGCAGUCACAGUGAUAGUAAGAUUAACUUACUCUGUUAAACUUGAAUGUUUUGAUAAAGUAUACAAGUCCAAAUACUAGACGUGAAGUGGUUUACCGUAGUAAGAAUUUGUACAAGUAUAUGGUUGCCAAUUUGUUAAAAUGGCAAUGUACACAAGUCACAGUUUGGAUUCAAAAUGAAAUGAAAAUAUUCGCAGAAAUUGUUUAUCGUAGUGAGAGUUUAUGCAAUUAUAUUGUUGACGAUUUGUUAGCAUGGCUGGAAGGCGUGGAUGGCUCCAGUUGGAGUGAAGGCCACGAUGCAGUCAUAGUUAGAGUUGGCUGGAAGGCGUGGAUGGCUCCAGUUGGAGUGAAGGCCACGAUGCAGUCAUAGUUAGAGAUGGCUGGAAGGCGUGGAUGGCUCCAGUUGGAGUGAAGGCCACGAUGCAGUCAUAGUUAGAGAUGGCUGGAAGGCGUGGAUGGCUCCAGUUGGAGUGAAGGCCACGAUGCAGUCAUAGUUAGAGAUGGCUGGAAGGCGUGGAUGGCUCCAGUUGGAGUGAAGGCCACGAUGCAGUCAUAGUUAGAGAUGGCUGGAAGGCGUGGAUGGCUCCAGUUGGAGUGAAGGCCACGAUGCAGUCAUAGUUAGAGAUGGCUGGAAGGCGUGGAUGGCUCCAGUUGGAGUGAAGGCCACGAUGCAGUCAUAGUUAGAAUUGGCUGGAAGGCGUGGAUGGCUCCAGUUGGAGUGAAGGCCACGAUGCAGUCCGUCCUAGUUAAAGAUACGACUCUGGAAGGUUGGCACGAUCGUGAAGCCUUGUUGGUGGACAUCCUCUUGGCUUUGCGGUGAGGGGUCAAAUGCAGAUGUCGUGAGUUUAGAUUGGCUGGAAGGCGUGGAUGGCUCCAGUAAGAGUGAAGGCCUCGAGGCAGUCCUAGGAACGCAGCUCUGUAAAGGUGGCACAGUCAUGAAUUCUUGCUGGCGAAUAACCUCUUGACUUUGACCUUUAACUUUGUACCAAAAUAUAAACCAAUUUGUAAAUGUGAACACCAUGUAGCAUUUUAAUUGUCACUUUACUCUCAUUUGUCUUUGCGAUUCUACAUGAUCUUCGCAUGCUUUUACUGUAUGUAUCAAUACAUACAAAUUGUAAUACUAUAUUAUUUUUAAAAAGAGUAACCAUGGAGUUUCUUGCCCGUUCUUCUCCAUAGGAAGCUACUUUUGGAAUGGGCAACUAGAAUCAAACUUAGUUAUAAUUUUGACGUUCAUAAGUGCUUGUUUUUUUUUUAUUUUUUUAUUUUUUAAUUUCAUAAGGCCUAAAUGAAAUAAAUGAUUUGACCUUUGACUUUGAGAAGUUUGAGGACAAACUUAGUGGUCAGAAUGGCCGAAUGUUAGACUAAUAUUAUCCUGUGUUGUUCUGUAUGUUAUAUUCUCUUUUCAUACAUUAAGGAACUAUACUAUAUUUACCGAAGUAUACUAAAUCAUUUUAGUUUUAUACGGACAACACUACCUCUACUGUGAGGACAACACUAAAAAGAGAUUUUGAGAGAUAGAGCGCGCGCUUCCGAUGCGCUUCCUUCGUGGACUGAUAAACUAUGUUUUCUUACGAUUGAUAUUAAGUUGUGUUUUAAAAGUGAAUACAAGAAGUUAUUGUGAUACGA
rnacentral:lncRNA from 1 species